rnacentral:lncRNA from 1 species
AUUUACCACAUGCAUGCUACCUCGUACAUUUAGUAUUGUUUAGUCAGUGCUACAAGAGUAUUUAUUGAGUGCAACUAGCAUACUAAUUAUUAAGGGAUAUAGCAAUAGUUAUAUUGUUUACGCGCUACUUCUGUAACGUGUAGCCUCUCGUGCCCCUGCACAUGCGCAUUUACUAAUUGCAUCAUAAGCGCUGUUGCCAGGCCAGAGAGGGCCAUAAAAUCAAUAGCCCUAGUCUUAGUUCUCUCUCCCUCUCGGUUUAAAUUGCUGAUGUGUGAAUAUUCCUGUGUUAGCCUGUAAAAUUAUUGCAGUUGUUAACCACAAAUAUAUGAACAUCUUCAAAUGGAAAAGCUCUGUCAGCGCUCGUGUGUGGUGACCAUCAAGAGUACAGGCCUCCACAUCAUGAAUAUGACCGGACAGCACUAUAGUAGGCAGAACCAAAACAUAUCAGCAUUAAGCACUAACGGGCCUCCCUUUAAGCAAACUUGAAAUAAUUUGGACGUGGGUUGUGCACGACUCAUUGGGGUUUAUUAUUUUUUAUUUAUUUUGAUGUGGUGCUUAGAAAAUGUAAUUAUACACAUCUUGAACCUUAUUUAUGUGUGUUGCCUUGGUGGAGUCAUUUCGUGUUUCAAUUUCAUUUAAUGCAUGGGAAAGUAUAUCCUUAUACAAUAACAAAAACCUAUAAUCAUUCCAUCUGACGUUAAUCCCCUAACGUAAACUCACUCACUUUUGUACAUCGCCUUGGUCCGUAAAAUUGACCUUAUUUUAGCACCCCAAAACCGUAAUACUUCCAGAUCAACUGUAAUGUCAAUACCACUGUAAAGCACAGUUUCU